rnacentral:rRNA from 1 species
AGUGAACGCUGGCGGUAGGCCUAACACAUGCAAGUCGAACGGCAGCACAGUACGAGCUUUCUCUUACGGGUGGCGAGUGGCUUACGGGUGAGUAAUACAUCCGUAUCUACUUUUUCGUGGGGGAUAACGUAGGGAAACUUACGCUAAUACCGCAUACGACAUACGGGUUAAAGCCGGGGAUCUUCGUACCUUGCGCGUUUUACUUCGCUGAUGUCGGAUUAUCUAUUUGGCGGGGUAAAGGCCCACCAAGGCGACGAUCAGUAGCUGGCCUGAGAGGAGGACAAGCAAAACGGGAACGGAGACACGGCCAAGACUCCUACGGGAGGAAGAAGAGGGGAAUAUUGGAAAAGGGGCGCAAGCUUGAUCCAGAAAGACGGGGGGGGGGAAGAAGGCUUUCGGGUUGAAAAGCCUGUUGGAAGGGAAAGAAAAGCAGCAGGUUAAUAACCCGAUGUUGUGACGGUACCCAAAGAAAAAGCAACGGCUAACUUCGUG